AGAGUUGAUCCUGGCUCAGGAUGAACGCUAGCGACAGGCUAACACAUGCAAGUCGAGGGGCAGCACGGGAGUAGCAAUACAACUGGUGGCGACCGGCGCACGGGUGAGUAACGCGUAUGCAACCUACCUAUCAGAGGGGAAUAACCCGGCGAAAGUCGGACUAAUACCGCAUAAAACAGGGGCACCGCAUGGUGAUAUUUGUUAAAGAAAUUCGCUGAUAGAUGGGCAUGCGUUCCAUUAGGUAGUUGGUGAGGUAACGGCUCACCAAGCCGACGAUGGAUAGGGGAACUGAGAGGUUGGUCCCCCACACUGGUACUGAGACACGGACCAGACUCCUACGGGAGGCAGCAGUGAGGAAUAUUGGUCAAUGGGCGAGAGCCUGAACCAGCCAAGUCGCGUGAAGGAAGAAGGAUCUAUGGUUCGUAAACUUCUUUUGCAGGGGAAUAAAGUGCAGGACGUGUCCUGUUUUGUAUGUACCCUGAGAAUAAGGAUCGGCUAACUCCGUGCCAGCCGCCGC
rnacentral:rRNA from 1 species